rnacentral:rRNA from 1 species
GUAACAAGGUCUCCGUUGGUGAACCAGCGGAGGGAUCAUUACUGAGUUUACGCUCUACAACCCUUUGUGAACAUACCUAUAACUGUUGCUUCGGCGGGUAGGGUCUCCGCGACCCUCCCGGCCUCCCGCCUCCGGGCGGGUCGGCGCCCGCCGGAGGAUAACCAAACUCUGAUUUAACGACGUUUCUUCUGAGUGGUACAAGCAAAUAAUCAAAACUUUUAACAACGGAUCUCUUGGUUCUGGCAUCGAUGAAGAACGCAGCGAAAUGCGAUAAGUAAUGUGAAUUGCAGAAUUCAGUGAAUCAUCGAAUCUUUGAACGCACAUUGCGCCCGCCAGCAUUCUGGCGGGCAUGCCUGUUCGAGCGUCAUUUCAACCCUCAAGCUCUGCUUGGUGUUGGGGCCCUACAGCUGAUGUAGGCCCUCAAAGGUAGUGGCGGACCCUCUCGGAGCCUCCUUUGCGUAGUAACUUUACGUCUCGCACUGGGAUCCGGAGGGACUCUUGCCGUAAAACCCCCAAUUUUCCAAAGGUUGACCUCGGAUCAGGUAGGAAUACCCGCUGAACUUAAGCAUAUCU